CCCUUAGACGUUCUGGGCCGCACGCGCGCUACACUGACCAGUGCAACAAGCAUCCGUCCUUGGCCGACAGGCCCGGGCAAUCUUUGAACGCUGGUCGUGAUGGGGAUAGACUUUUGCAAUUUUUGGUCUUCAACGAGGAAUUCCUAGUAAACGCAAGUCAUCAACUUGCAUUGAUUACGUCCCUGCCCUUUGUACACACCGCCCGUCGCACCUACCGAUUGAAUGGUCCGGUGAAGCCUCCGGAUUGGCGCGCACCUCGGUGCCGCCGAGAAGUUAGCUAAACCUUACCAUUUAGAGGAAGGUGAAGUCGUANCA
rnacentral:rRNA from 1 species